GACGAACGCUGGCGGCGUGCUUAACACAUGCAAGUCGAACGGAAAGGCCCUGCUUGCCGGGUCCUCGAGUGGCGAACGGGUGAGUAACACGUGGGUGAUCUGCCCUGCACUUCGGGAUAAGCCUGGGAAACUGGGUCUACUACCGGAUAGGAGCCAUUUUUAGUGUGAUGGUUGGAAAGUUUUUUGGGUGUAGUAUGAGCGCGCGGCCUAUCAGCUUGUUGGUGGGGUAAUGGCCUACCAAGGCGGCGACGCGUAGCCGGCGUGAGAGGGUGGCCGGCCACAGUGGGACUGAGACACGGCCCAGACUCCGACGGGAGGCAGAAGUGGGGAAUGUUGAACAAUGGGCGCAAGCCUGAUGCAGCGACGGCGCGUGGGGGAUGACGGCCUUCGGGUUGGAAACGCCUUUCGCUAGGGACGAAGCUUUUUGUGACGGUACCUAGAGAAGAAGCACCGGCUAACUACGUG
rnacentral:rRNA from 1 species